rnacentral:rRNA from 1 species
UACGAAGGGGGCUAGCGUUGUUCGGAAUUACUGGGCGUAAAGCGUGCGCAGGCGGCUUCUCAAGUCAGGGGUGAAAGCCCAGAGCUCAACUCUGGAAUUGCCUUUGAGACUGAGUGGCUUGAGUACGAGAGAGGUGAGUGGAAUUCCCAGUGUAGAGGUGAAAUUCGUAGAUAUUGGGAAGAACACCGGUGGCGAAGGCGGCUCACUGGCUCGUAACUGACGCUCAUGCACGAAAGCGUGGGGAGCAAACAGG